AUUCAAAACAAAUACAUUCAGAUCUUUUGGGGAUACGAGUUGUGUCUAGAUUUUGGCUAUGCCGUUUUAAAUUUGAUUAAGAUUUUUUCUUCAUUUUUUCUUUCCACCUUCUAUUCUUUCUUCCACAUCAUACCAUGCAUUUGAAUUUUUCUUCUAGCUUCACGAAGAGUCCUAUAAAUAGUUGCAGAGCAUUUUUUAGUGCUACAUGUUUUCUGUAAUUCUAUCUUGGGACAUGUUAAGACUGACAAAAUUCUUUGUAACUACUCAUAGCUAUAGGCACAUGGUUCAAACUUGAAUUCAGUGCUGACAGUCAUAGAUGCCAUACAUGAUACAGAAAUUAAUGAUGUCUCCAAGCUUUUGUAGAAUUUGGGGGUGGUUCAGGCUAGAUUUCUGAGCGUGGAGACAGCUCUUUACCAUAAGAAUGGCUGUGUGAUCCAGUAGAUGACGACCCAAAAUGUGUCAUUUAGGAAAACAGACUUUUAUUGAAUCUGUUGAUACCUUGCUAUGUACCCUGGGACAAACCACUUAUCUGUUAUUUAUCCUGUUUUCCCAUGGCAUGGUGAAUGCCAAAUGGGAGUUAAACAUAAACACUGCAAUAAUGUGGGCUGUGCAUGAACAGCAAUCUAGGUGGGUUUUGAUGUCAAAAAAAAAAGGAUUAAAAGAGAAAUAGAUAUAUGGUAGAAAUAUAGUAGGAGUAGAUACUGAACACAUUUCUUUCCUUUUUGAUGAGCAAGAGAAAAAAUGCCAUUCUCUGAACAGAAAAUCAAUGAUUUUUAAUUAAAUGUUAACUAAUUAUGCAGUAUAUCUGUGGUGCUUCUAAUCCUAACAGCAAAAAAA